AUCAUCAUCAACAUCAACAUCAACAUCAUCAUCAUCAUCAUCUUUAUCUUUCUCAUCAGGAGAAUCUCCACUGGUCUCAUCUGUGUCUCCUAUAACAGGCUCUUCUCUGAUCAUCAGUGUGUCUGUGCUUCUGCUUCUGAUCUUCACUGUGAUUCUGAUAGUGAUCAUCACUCUCUGGAGGAGACGGCAGUUGCACAACGCUCAUUCCUCAUUCAAAAGAUCUCAAAGGACACCAGCAAACAUUGACGCGGCUUCUCAUUAUCAUUGUGAUUACGAGGAGACUGAAUACAAUCACAGACAAUUACCCACAAACCCCUCUGAUUCUACUAAUGCAAUCUAUGCUAAUCCAGAAUUACCCACAAACCCCUCUGAUUCUACUAAUACCAUCUAUGCUACUCCACAAUUACCCAUAAACCCUUCUGAUUCUACUAAUACAAUCUAUGCUAAUCCAGAAUUUCCAUAAACCCCUCUGAUUCUUCCAACAGCGUUCACACUUUAACAUCGCAGAAGUCCACGUCUUUCAGUCAUUAUCAUCCACUGAGGGUCUGAAUGACACAGACGGUCUUAAUGAUGUUCCUUCAACAAUUAUCUGUCUUUACAUUAAUGUCUGUCAUUGCAUGCAGCUGUGUGACUACAGUAAAUAUAUGUUAGCGAUCUGCUGUUUUUAAUUUAUUUGCUCAGUAAACACAACCAUUGCACCUGCUGAAGGGAUUUAUGUAAUUUUCUCAAUAUGUUUAAAACAUGGCAUGUAUUUGUGAACAAAAUAAAAGAUGACUGUUCUUUAUGACAACACAGCAUUAUUAUUUUAGCAUCAAACCACAUCAGUAACUAAUUUUCCCAAGUAGGGGUAACUGCAGCCUGGAGCAAUGGGC